rnacentral:rRNA from 1 species
GACGAACGCUGGCGGCGUGCCUAACACAUGCAAGUCGAACGAGGUCCAUCCUUCGGGAGAAGACCUAGUGGCGAACGGGUGAGUAACACGUGAGAAACCUGCCCCGAAGACCGGGAUAACCCUCCGAAAGGAGAGCUAAUACCGGAUGCCCCCACCGAGCCGCAUGGCUUGGUGAGGAAAUGGAUUCCGCUUCGGGAGGGUCUCGCGGCCUAUCAGCUAGUUGGUGGGUAACGGCCCACCAAGGCAUCGACGGGUAGCUGGUCUGAGAGGACGAUCAGCCACACUGGGACUGAGACACGGCCCAGACUCCUACGGGAGGCAGCAGUGGGGAAUCUUGCGCAAUGGGCGAAAGCCUGACGCAGCAACGCCGCGUGGGGGAUGAAGGCUCUCGGGUUGUAAACCCCUUUCAGCAGGGACGAAAUCAGACGGUACCUGCAGAAGAAGCUCCGGCUAACUACGUGCCAGCAGCCGCGGU